CCCUGCCAUGCCCCUAACCUCCAGGGAGGGAAGAGGGGCUGGAGAUUGAAUCCAAUUACCCAAUGGCCAGUGAUUCAAUCAACCAUGCCUAAGAAACGAAGGGUUUGGAGAACUUCCGGGUUGGUGAAGAAGAAGGUACCCAUAUGCUGGGAGGGUGGCAUACCCGAAACUCCACAAGAACUGAUGCUCCUGUACUUGAGACCCUUCUGGACCUUGCCCUAUGUAUCUCUUCAUCUGUUUGUUGGUUUACUAGACAGUAAGCUCUAUGAGGACAGUAACUUUGCCUGUCUUGUUCCUGACUGGCAACCUUGUAGGAUGGGAAUCUUGAGCAAGAAGGGAGCUCUUCUGAGAAAAAUGCCAACACUGAGGAAAUCAUUCCUGAAAGAUGGAGAGCACAAUAAUAGUAAAAGACAUCAACUGUCGUCUUGGAUCCAAUUAUCCUCGAAACAAAACAAACCUCCUGGAUUUUUCAUUAUGUGAACCAAUUGAUUAAGCUAGUUUGUGUUGGUUUCUGUUCUUUACAACCAACUGUAUUGACUAACACACCAAUAAAUGGAAUCUACAAAGCAAAUCAACCAGCAACCAAUUAGGGCUUAGAGAGAGUAUAUUGUCAUAAAACCCCAAGCCUGGCAGGAAGAGUCUUGUAAUUGUUAAACCUCCAUGCAGCCCCCAGGUACCCAUACCCACCCAUAGGAAGGAAGCUACUCAAGUGGACCAGCUCACAGCUGGGGAUUCCUCCACAUGGCAGACAUAGUUUCUGCCUCUCCUUCAGCCCUUUGCUUCAUCUUCCUUGUGAAGAGAAUCCAGAAUUUCUUUUAUGGAAGGCUCAAGCUAAUUAUGAUCAUUGUAUUUCCCCACAAUAAUUGACUUAGGAAUGGGCAUGUGGUGCAAUUCUGCCCAAUGACAUAUGAGAGGAAGUCCCUGGGGAGCUUCAGAAAAGUUGUCUUUGCUCUUCCAAAGUGAUUUAGAGAAGGAUGCCCUUUUGCCCUCUUCCAACCUUUGGAUAUUAUGUGAGGACAUGAUGCUUAGACCUGUUACAACCAUUUUGUGAGGUGAGGAAAUAAGCCUGAAGACAAAAGCUAAACAAAGCCAUGGGGGUGGUGGGGUAAAACCACAGCAAGGUCUAUAGGCGGCAGCCAUACAGUUCUUGCUCCUCCUGUACUAUGAGCACCUUUAUAUGGAGCCAUGGCAAGCACUGAGGUUCUCUUUAUUACUCUCUUAGUGUUAUGGUCUCCUAGGAUAGGGGUAUUCCCCCAUCUUCUUCCCAGGCACUGGAAAAAUGGACUACAGUCUACCCUUACCUUCAUGAGACCAUUCCAACAAGUUUCCUUUCAAAAAUCUACAGCCCAAAAAGCAGGCACCAAUUUCUAUGUUUACACGCUCACCUCCUCUCCCCUGGGGGAUGUAUGUAAAGCUCUUCUAAAAAUUCUC
rnacentral:lncRNA from 1 species